AAGACCAAGAACUCCCCCAAGCCAUGGUAAGAAAAGUGAACUUUCAAGGAUGAAAGUUUUUAAUUGAGGUGAAUUUUUAAGAGACCUAGUAAGAUGAAGAGAUCUUCGAGUAAGUUUAGGGCGUCCAAGAAUGGAUUAAGGGAUCCAAAAAAAAGGAUUAAAAGACACAUGAAUGGUGGUUAAUUGGCCAAAGGAAGAGUUUGUCAAUGCCCUAAAGGAAUGAUAAGGAUUCAAGGCUUUGAGAAAGAAAUAGCAUUUACUCCCAAGGAAAGGACUUAAGACCCUAAGAGCCCACCAAUUAACCUUGUUCAAGAAGGAAGAAGAGAAGUCUCUAUGAUGCAACCUUGAAGGAACAAGGUUGAUUAUGGCAAAACUUGUUGGGUACAAGGAAGGAAAUAUGCUCCAAGAUAUAAGAAAGAACAUAAAAAUGACUAAGAAAGACUUGUAAUCUCAACAAAGGAUGUUGAAAGACUUUCAAGAAGAACAAAUACGAGAUUAAGUACAUGGCCUUAAAAUUAGGACAAAAGGCCACAAGGGCAAAUUGGAAAAACAUGUCGGAGAAGGACAUACCCUUGCAAGGAGACUCUCAAGGUAUUUGGAAGGACAUAACUAAGACCAAGAACUACCCCAAGCCAUGGUAAGGAAAGUGAACUUUCAAGGAUGAAAGUUUUUAAGAGGGGGAGAACUUGUAAAAGACCAAGUAAGAUGAAGAAAUCUUCGAGUAAGUUUAGGGUGUCCAAGAAUGGAUUAAGGGAUCCAAAAAAAGGAUUAAAAGACUCAAGAAUGGUUAAUGGGCCAAAGGAAGAGAUUGUCAAUGCCAUGAAGGAAUGAUAAGGAUUCAAGAUUUUGAAAAAGAAAUAGCAUUUACUCCCAAGGAAAGGACAUAAGACCCUACGAGCCCACCAAUUAGUCUUUUUCAAGAAGGAAGAAGAGAAGUCUCUAUGAUGCAACCUUGAAGGAACAAGGUUCAUUAUGGCAAUACUUGUUGGGUACAAGGAAGGAAAUAUGCUCCAAGAUAUAAGGAAGAACAUUAAAAUGACCAAGAAAGACUUGUAAUCUCAACAAAGGAUGUUGAAAGACUUUCAAAAAGAACAAAUACGAGAUUAAGUACAUGGCCUUAAGUUAGGACGAAAGGCCACAAGGGCAAUUUGGAAAAACAUGUCGGAGAAGGACAUACCCUUGCAAGGGGACCCUCAAGGUACUUGGAAUGACAUAACUAAGACCAAGAACUCCCCCAAGCCAUGGUAAGAAAAGUGAACUUUCGAGGAUGAAAGUUUGUAAGAGGGGAGAAUUUGUAAGUCACCUAGUAAGAUGAAGAGAUCUUCGAGCAAGUAUAGGGUGUCCAAAAAAGAAUUAAGGGAUCCAAAAAAAGGAUUAAAAGACACAAGAAUGGUGGUUAAUUGGCCAAAGGAAGAGAUUGUCAAUGCCCUAAAGGAAUGAUAAGGAUUCAAGGCUUUGAAAAAGAAAUAGCAUUUACUUCCAAGGAUUGGACUUAAGACCCUAGGAGCCCACCAAUUAGCCUUGUUCAAGAAAGAAGAAGAGAAGUCUCUAUGAUGCAACCUUGAAGGAACAAGGUUGAUUAUGGCAAAACUUGUUGGGUACAAGGAAGGAAAUAUGCUCCAAGAUAUAAGGAAGAACAUAAAAAUGACCAAGAAAGACUUGUAAUCUCAACAAAGGAUGUUGUAAGACUUUCAAGAAGAACAAAUACGAGAUUAAGUACAUGGCCUUAAGUUAGGACAAAAGGCCACAAGGGCAAAUUGGAAAAACAUGUGGGAGAAGGACAUACCCUUGCAAGGGAACCCUCAAGGUAUUUUCAAGGACAUAACUAAGACCAAGAACUCCCCCAAGCCAUGGUAAGGAAAGUGAACUUUCAAGGAUGAAUGUUUUUAAGAGGGGAGAAAUUGUAAGAGACCUAGUAAAUUGGAAACAUCUUCGAAUAAGUUUAGGGUGUCCAAAAAAGAAUUAAGGGAUCCAAAAAAAGGAUUAAAAGAUACAAGAAUGGUGGUUAAUUGGCCAAAGGAAGAGAUUGUCAAUGCCCUAAAGGAAUGAUAAGGAUUCAAGGCUUUGAAAAAGAAAUAGCAUUUACUCCCAUCGAAAGGACUUAAGACCCUAAGAGCCCACCAAUUAGCCUUGUUCAAGAAGGAAGAAGAGAAGUCUCUAUGAUGCAACCUUGAAGGAACAAGGUUGAUUAUUGCAAAACUUGUUGGGUACAAGGAAGGAAAUAUGCUCCAAGAUAUAAGGAAGAACAUAAAAAUGACCAAGAAAGACUUGUAAUCACAACAAAGGAUGUUGAAAGACUUUCAAGAAGAACAAAUACGAGAUUAAGUACAUGCCCUUAAGUUAGGACAAAAGGCCACAAGGGCAAAUUGGAAAAACAUGUCGGAGAAGGACAUACCCUUGCAAGGAGACUCUCAAGGUAUUUGGAAGGACAUAACUAAGACCAAGAACUACCCCAAGCCAUGGUAAGGAAAGUGAACUUUCAAGGAUGAAAGUUUUUAAGAGGGGGAGAACUUGUAAAAGACCAAGUAAGAUGAAGAAAUCUUCGAGUAAGUUUAGGGUGUCCAAGAAUGGAUUAAGGGAUCCAAAAAAAGGAUUAAAAGACUCAAGAAUGGUUAAUGGGCCAAAGGAAGAGAUUGUCAAUGCCAUGAAGGAAUGAUAAGGAUUCAAGAUUUUGAAAAAGAAAUAGCAUUUACUCCCAAGGAAAGGACAUAAGACCCUACGAGCCCACCAAUUAGUCUUUUUCAAGAAGGAAGAAGAGAAGUCUCUAUGAUGCAACCUUGAAGGAACAAGGUUCAUUAUGGCAAUACUUGUUGGGUACAAGGAAGGAAAUAUGCUCCAAGAUAUAAGGAAGAACAUUAAAAUGACCAAGAAAGACUUGUAAUCUCAACAAAGGAUGUUGAAAGACUUUCAAAAAGAACAAAUACGAGAUUAAGUACAUGGCCUUAAGUUAGGACGAAAGGCCACAAGGGCAAUUUGGAAAAACAUGUCGGAGAAGGACAUACCCUUGCAAGGGGACCCUCAAGGUACUUGGAAUGACAUAACUAAGACCAAGAACUCCCCCAAGCCAUGGUAAGAAAAGUGAACUUUCGAGGAUGAAAGUUUGUAAGAGGGGAGAAUUUGUAAGUCACCUAGUAAGAUGAAGAGAUCUUCGAGCAAGUAUAGGGUGUCCAAAAAAGAAUUAAGGGAUCCAAAAAAAGGAUUAAAAGACACAAGAAUGGUGGUUAAUUGGCCAAAGGAAGAGAUUGUCAAUGCCCUAAAGGAAUGAUAAGGAUUCAAGGCUUUGAAAAAGAAAUAGCAUUUACUUCCAAGGAUUGGACUUAAGACCCUAGGAGCCCACCAAUUAGCCUUGUUCAAGAAAGAAGAAGAGAAGUCUCUAUGAUGCAACCUUGAAGGAACAAGGUUGAUUAUGGCAAAACUUGUUGGGUACAAGGAAGGAAAUAUGCUCCAAGAUAUAAGGAAGAACAUAAAAAUGACCAAGAAAGACUUGUAAUCUCAACAAAGGAUGUUGUAAGACUUUCAAGAAGAACAAAUACGAGAUUAAGUACAUGGCCUUAAGUUAGGACAAAAGGCCACAAGGGCAAAUUGGAAAAACAUGUGGGAGAAGGACAUACCCUUGCAAGGGAACCCUCAAGGUAUUUUCAAGGACAUAACUAAGACCAAGAACUCCCCCAAGCCAUGGUAAGGAAAGUGAACUUUCAAGGAUGAAUGUUUUUAAGAGGGGAGAAAUUGUAAGAGACCUAGUAAAUUGGAAACAUCUUCGAAUAAGUUUAGGGUGUCCAAAAAAGAAUUAAGGGAUCCAAAAAAAGGAUUAAAAGAUACAAGAAUGGUGGUUAAUUGGCCAAAGGAAGAGAUUGUCAAUGCCCUAAAGGAAUGAUAAGGAUUCAAGGCUUUGAAAAAGAAAUAGCAUUUACUCCCAUCGAAAGGACUUAAGACCCUAAGAGCCCACCAAUUAGCCUUGUUCAAGAAGGAAGAAGAGAAGUCUCUAUGAUGCAACCUUGAAGGAACAAGGUUGAUUAUUGCAAAACUUGUUGGGUACAAGGAAGGAAAUAUGCUCCAAGAUAUAAGGAAGAACAUAAAAAUGACCAAGAAAGACUUGUAAUCACAACAAAGGAUGUUGAAAGACUUUCAAGAAGAACAAAUACGAGAUUAAGUACAUGCCCUUAAGUUAGGACAAAAGGCCACAAGGGCAAAUUGGAAAAACAUGUCGGAGAAGGACAUACCCUUGCAAGGAGACUCUCAAGGUAUUUGGAAGGACAUAACUAAGACCAAGAACUACCCCAAGCCAUGGUAAGGAAAGUGAACUUUCAAGGAUGAAAGUUUUUAAGAGGGGAGAAUUUGUAAGUCACCUAGUAAGAUGAAGAGAUCUUCGAGCAAGUAUAGGGUGUCCAAAAAAGAAUUAAGGGAUCCAAAAAAAGGAUUAAAAGACACAAGAAUGGUGGUUAAUUGGCCAAAGGAAGAGAUUGUCAAUGCCCUAAAGGAAUGAUAAGGAUUCAAGGCUUUGAAAAAGAAAUAGCAUUUACUCCCAAGGAUUAGACUUAAGACCCUAGGAGCCCACCAAUUAGCCUUGUUCAAGAAAGAAGAAGAGAAGUCUCUAUGAUGCAACCUUGAAGGAACAAGGUUGAUUAUGGCAAAACUUGUUGGGUACAAGGAAGGAAAUAUGCUCCAAGAUAUAAGGAAGAACAUAAAAAUGACCAAGAAAGACUUGUAAUCUCAACAAAGGAUGUUG